AACCCGUUAAGCAAGCCGCCUGGGGAUUACGGCCGCAAGGCUAAAACUCAAAGGAAUUGGCGGGGAGGCACACAACCAGUGGAACAUGUGGUUCAAUUCGAAACAAACCGAAGCACCUCACCGGGGUUUGACAUGCAAUUGCUAAUCCUAUGAAAGUAGGACUCCUUCGAGGGUAUUGCACAGGUGCUGCAUGGCUGUCGUCAGUUCGUUCCGUGAGGAGUGCCCUUAAGUGGGACAACGAACGCAACCCCCAUCGUAUGUUACAAGUGUCAUACGAAACUGCCCCCGAGUUCUCGGGGGAGGAAGGAGGGGCAGACGUCAAGUCAGCAUGGUCCUUACGCCCCGGGCUACACACAUGUUACAAUGGACAAUAACAAUGGGCAGCAAACCGGCGACGGUAAGCUAAUCUCAGAAAUUUGUCCUCAGUGGGGAUUGUAGUCUGCAAUUCGACUACAUGAACGCGGAAUUGGUAGUAAUCGCGGAUCAGCUAUGCCGCGGUGAUACGUUCUUGCCUCUUGCACACACCGCCCGUCAAGCCAACAAAGUCGGCAUUAUCUGAACCUC
rnacentral:rRNA from 1 species